GAUGAACGCUGGCGGCGUGCCUAACACAUGCAAGUCGAACGGAAAGACGCUGCUUUUGUGGGGUUCUCGAGUGGCGAACGGGUGAGUAACACGCGAGUAUCCUGGCCUUGACUGGGGGAUAUCUGCAGGAAACUGCGGAUAAUACCGGAGAGGAGCUGCUGCAGCAUGGGGGGGGUUGGAAAGUUUCGGCGGUGGUGGAUGGACUCGAGGUUUACCAGCUUGUUGGGGGGGUAGUUGCGUACCAAGGCUUUGACGGGUCGCCGGCCUGGGAGGGUGACCGGCGACCAUAGGCCUAAGAUACGGCGCAGACGCGAACGGGAGGCAGCGGUGGAGAAUUUUACACAGCGAGGGGAAGCGUGAUGCAGCAGCGCCGGGUGCGGAAAGCCGGCCUACGGGUUGUGAACCGCUUUCGCCUGUGACGAAGCGUGAGUGACGGUAAUGGGUAAAGAAGCACCGGCUAACUACGUG
rnacentral:rRNA from 1 species